AUGAUGGAUAUGUUAAGUAGCUCAGUUUAAUAAUUUAACACUAUAGAUAUAUAUGUAUCAAAACAUCACAUUGUGCCACCAGAAGUGUAUGUAAUGAUUUCUCAAUUAUAAACAUUAUUAAUUUAAAAAGAAACAUUACUGCUAUUACCGUUAUUGAUUUACCAAUGUCUCCAUUGUUCUAAUAUUUUUCUCACAGUAUUGACGAGCAGCACCCAUGGUAUGUCUAACAUCUGGCUUCAGGUAUUAGUCACAGAGUUGCUUUAGGGUCCCUUAAUAACACCCUUUAGACUUCAAGUUAGCAGAAACGUUUUCUAGCUCCUUUGACACGUGUAGUACCAGCCUGCUGCCAUCCAGAGAGCUCUUUUCUCCCUUACUUGCUUUUCAUCUCUUUUCUUCUCAUUCUUUUUUCACUGGGACAAUAAGCCAAUUUCUGGCUAAAUGUGUUUUACUAAACCAAGACAGUACUGUUUUCAGAAGGAAUUUGUGUGCCAGCUUGAAAUCUUCCUCUUCUCCUCAGCAUGGAUCAAUGAGCAUCGUCUUGUUUCUUCUAUCUCUAGAAUUUAGGCUUGGGAAGAGCAGGAAGAUGGCUACAUAUCGAAAUCGAAUUGUGAGCCAAAGCCUCAGCACAAGGGACAAAAAAGCAAUACAUACUCCCACCGAGGACCGUUUUAGAUAUUCACCAGCUGACCAGACAAGCCCCUACAAAAACAAGGCCUGCCAACUUUCAAGUCUAUAUUUAGGUAAUUUCUUAAAGGACAAGGAACUAGCAGAAGCUAUCAAACACUCAAGAGGAACGUAUGAAUCCCUCUCUUCAGAGGUUGCACAGAAUUUACGGACCACAGUUGGGCAGAACUCUCUGAAGCCAAUAACCAAGAUGGAAGGGCUCCCCACAUACUUAGAGAAACCAAAGGAGCAAGCUGCUGUGUCCCAACAGCAUUCGACCUUUACAGGCAGAUUUGGGCAGCCACCCAGAGGGCCAAUCUCUUUACACAUGUACAGCAGGAAGAAUGUUUUCCUCCACCAUAAUCUACAUACCACUGAACUCCAGACUCUGGGCCAGCAGGAUGGGUAA
rnacentral:lncRNA from 1 species